UCCCUACGGGAGGCAGCAGUGGGGAAUAUUGCACAAUGGGGGAAACCCUGAUGCAGCGACGCCGCGUGAGUGAAGAAGUAUCUCGGUACGUAAAGCUCUAUCAGCAGGGAAGAAAAUGACGGUACCUGACUAAGAAGCCCCGGCUAACUACGUGCCAGCAGCCGCGGUAAUACGUAGGGGGCAAGCGUUAUCCGGAUUUACUGGGUGGAAAGGGAGCGGAGACGGCAGCACAAGUCUGGAGUGAAAGCCCUGGGAUUAAC
rnacentral:rRNA from 1 species